AAAAAUUACAAGAUACUUACUAGAAAAUAGGAAAAGUUUUUUUCUAAAUAAUGACAAGUAGUUGUCUGACGACAUCAAAUCGCUGACUUUACAGGGAAGGCCACUUAUGUGAGCAAGCAUGGCAACCGAAAGACAUGUUGGCAAGAUAUAUACCAGAGCUAUGUUUGGGCAAUUCAGCCAUAUAAGAGUGUGGUGCAUAUCAGAUGGAGGAGAUCGAAAUAGGUAAAACAUAUGUUGCAAAUUUGAAUGUGAAUGCAGGCAGUUUGCCCACAUGGGGUUGGCGGGUUGCUAUGCAGCCAUGUACUGAAGGUACAGAAAUCCCAAAGAAGCAUAUAGUAAAAAGAUGGACCAGAGAUGCACGGGAUAUCCUCCCGACUAACCUGACACAGAGAUUGGGAGGCCUACGACAAGUAGGGAGAAGGCGCCCUAUGAAGGUUUAAGUAGCGCACAAAAUUCUGCAAUAUAAGUCGGAGGCAAGGGCACAAAUGAACAACCUGCCCUGAUCAGGCAGAUGUUCCAAAGCAGCCUCGUAAGCCAGCCAGAUGCAAAAAACUGUGGUGUUGAAGGUCGCCGCAGGAACAACUGUCACAUAGCAGCUGAACUAGGACUCAAAUAAUUGAUGCGAGUGAUCAAGUUUUCCGGUUGUAGAACUAUGUUAGACAGAUGAUACUAAGUUGUCUGGUUCCUGUAAAAACAAAAUCUUGAGCCUAGAUGAACAUAACAUGUGUGUUAGCAGAGUACCAAAAGAAUAAUUUCAGUUCUAGCAUGCUAGAUAGGAUAUUUUCAGACUUAAAAAUAUUGCUUGCUGUUGCUGAUGCUGUCGUUAUUUAACGAGAAAAACAAUGGUUUCUUUAGGAUGACUACAUGUAUGGUAGUGAUCUUCAGGUGGUGAU